rnacentral:lncRNA from 10 species
AGCACUGGGAUUACAGAGAUUUGAAGAAGCAAACUGGGCUAUUGUCAGCAUCUGUGUGGAGAGGUUCAGAUGACAAGGAACUGAGGACUGCCUCUGAUCAACAGCCCGGAAGAAAGAGAUAUCUUUUCUCAGCAAGUAGCAGUUCUUUUCUACAGUCAAGCCUCAGGAGCUAAGCAGCCUGACACUUGUGAGUUAUCUGGCAUGAAGUAAUUAUUUUCUCAGAAGAUCUUAUCAUUGCUGAUCAAGUAUGAGCUCUAACCAAGGAGCUGCAAAACCCGGCAUGUGUUCAUAUUUCACUGAAGAAUACCUAAAAAACCCUGGUAUCUGCAAAUGUAAUUUGCAAAGUUGACACCUUAUUUUUCCCCAGUUAGCAUUUUCUUUAGCUUCUGCAACAUUUAGGUUUAUAGAAGUGUAUCUAAUAUCUAAACUUUAUAGUACAUGCACCAGAAAUGUUUUGUUUCUCUUUCAUGCUUUUAAAAAAUAUAUGUUAUUAAAUAGAGUGAAGGUUUAACUGU